CCCUGGCUCAGAGUGAACGCUGGCGGCAGGCCUAACACAUGCAAGUCGAACGGCAGCACAGCAGUAGCAAUACUGUGGGUGGCGAGUGGCGGACGGGUGAGGAAUGCAUCGGAAUCUGCCUAUUUGUGGGGGAUAACGUAGGGAAACUUACGCUAAUACCGCAUACGUCCUACGGGAGAAAGUGGGGGACCUUCGGGCCUCACGCAGAUAGAUGAGCCGAUGCCGGAUUAGCUAGUUGGCGGGGUAAAGGCCCACCAAGGCGACGAUCCGUAGCUGGUCUGAGAGGAUGAUCAGCCACACUGGAACUGAGACACGGUCCAGACUCCUACGGGAGGCAGCAGUGGGGAAUAUUGGACAAUGGGCGCAAGCCUGAUCCAGCCAUGCCGCGUGUGUGAAGAAGGCCUUCGGGUUGUAAAGCACUUUUGUCCGGAAAGAAAAGCUUCGGGUUAAUAACCCGAGGUUAUGACGGUACCGGAAGAAUAAGCACCGGCUAA
rnacentral:rRNA from 1 species